UACGUAGGAGGCAAGCGUUGUCCGGAAUCACUGGGCGUAAAGAGCGUGUAGGCGGUCUGCCAAGUCUGUUGUGAAAGCGCCUGGCUUAACUGGGCGAGGUCGACGGAAACUGGUGAACUUGAGGACGAGAGAGGAACAUGGAACUCCAGGUGUAGUGGUGAAAUGCGUAGAUAUCUGGAAGAACACCGAUGGCGAAGGCAAUGUUCUGGCUCGUUUCUGACGCUCAGGUGCGAAAGCCAGGGGAGCGAACGGG
rnacentral:rRNA from 1 species